GAAAGAUAGAGUUGCUGUCCUGCGUGUUUCCUUCAGAAAACAAUGGAUAGUGCUCCGAGCAGUUCAUUACCAUCACAUCCUUUGAAGUAAAAUCUCCAGAAAUUCAGGCAUGGUGCUGACAGCUUAAUUCCACUAGAGAAUAGCCAAGGACUUCAUGGUUAAUGGAGAAGAACAAGAUUCUUUUCUUUGUCCUUUUCUGGAAGAGGUUCAGGAGAGCUCUGCCUAAACAGACAAAAAGUUUUGAAGAGAUCUGGCUGCAGUUGCAUAGUCCUGCCAAAAUGUUAAGCUCAUGAAGAUUUCCAGGUUUGCUGAAAUUCCUUUUGCUGGUGUAUAAUAACCAUACCUGAUAAAUAACAUUUUUAAUGUAUUUUUAAAGUGACUAAGUCACUAAAGUGACUAAGUUGUGGAACAACAAAGAUGGGAAAAAUUCCAAAG
rnacentral:lncRNA from 1 species